rnacentral:rRNA from 1 species
GGCCCAGAUCGUUUACCGUGAAAAAAUUAGAGUGUUCAAAGCAGGCAGAUCCAAUUUUCUGCCACCGAAUACAUUAGCAUGGGAUAAUGGAAUAGGACCCUGUCCUCCUAUUUUCAGUUGGUUUUGUUUACAGUGAGGUUCAUCAGGGUAAUGAUUAAUAGGGAUAGUUGGGGGCAUUAAUAUUUAAUUGUCAGAGGUGAAAUUCUUGGAUUUAUGAAAGAUUAACUUCUGCGAAAGCAUCUGCCAAGGAUGUUCUCAUUAAUCAAGAACGAAAGUUAGGGGAUCGAAGACGAUCAGAUACCGUCGUAGUCUUAACCAUAAACGAUGCCGACCAGCAAUUAGGAGACGUUGAAUACAAAACACCACCAUCGGUUGCGCGGUCAUCCUUGGCGUCUCUGUUUCGGCCGGGGCGCGGGGAUGGCUUAGCCCGGUGGCACCGGUGAAUGACUCCCCUAGCAGCUUGUGAGA